AUUGUUUUUUUUUUUUUUUUCUUCUUAUAAACAUUCCAAAUCAAACAUACAAGUUCAAUGUAAACAACAAUCUUACUUGCAGGCCUAAGUUAAUAUCUUUGAAUAUGAAAUACUGUCAUCUCUCUCUCAGUAUUCUCAUGACCUCAUGACAUACUGAAUGGAUCAGGGCCCAUAGGCUUACACUUUAUCAAUUUCAAAUGUUUGCAUUUUAAUUUAAAGAGAUCCGAUUUUUUUUUCAGGUAAUUUAUUUUUUUGUUACCAAUAAAUAAAUAAUUAUGGCUUCUUUUAUUGGUUCGUUAUUUCAACUUUUUAGACCAUCAAGAUAAAACUACAUAAUGGCUUUCAUUCAUAAACUACAUAAUGGCUUUCAUGAAUACAUUUCAAACAAUUCUAUUAAAAUAAUUUUGAUUUUUCAAUUAUUUUAUACGAUUUUUAUGAUUAAGCUUUUUUCUUUUUUAAAGUGUUUAUUUUGAGGACAAAUGUGUACAGGUCUUAAUUUUCAAAAGUAACUGACAAUAAUAAAAAUGACCAAAGAUA